rnacentral:lncRNA from 1 species
UAUUGAGAUCUCAAAUUUCAACCAGUUUUAGUUGUGCUGUACAGAACUUCUAUUUUAUUUAUUUAACUUCGCUGUUCAUUUAGCCGCUAGUGUCUUUCUGGAGCAACCCACUUUCUACAUUUGUUUUUUGUUUUUAUUUCUCAAGGAGAGAUUAAAAAAAGAGGAGUGCUCUUUGAGAAAGUAAUUGGCAGUUAUCUCAUAAAUGAAGGAAGUGAUAAUGUGUGGUUACAUUAUUGUGCAUAAACAUCUGAGACUUUGUGAUCCUGAAUACACACCUCCUCUAACUAAUUAUCCAGUUAGAAUUGCAGGUGCAGCUGAAAAUGGAUGGGUCCAGUGACACUUGCAGUCAGAUCACUUCUGCUUUGAGAGAGAGAGGCUGAAUCACCC